GGCGUGCUGGCAGAGAGUUAGCCGGGUGCGUUCGUUCUGCGGGGUAACGUCAAUCACUGCGGUUAUUAACCAGCAAUGCCUUCCUCCCCGCCGAAAGUACUUUACAACCCGAAGGCCUUCUUCAUACACGCGGCAUGGCUGCKUCAGUMGCGCCCAUUGUGCAAUAUUCCCCACUGCUGCCUCCCCGUAGGAG
rnacentral:rRNA from 1 species